GGGGGGGGGGGGGGGGGGGGGGGGGGGGGGCGGGGGGGGCGGGGGGGGCCUGCGGGGGGCUCGAGGGGCGAACGGGGGAGUGACACGUGGGUGAUCGGCCCGGCACUUUGGGAUAAGCCUGGGAAACUGGGUCUAAUACCGAAUAGGACCACGCGCUUCAUGGUGUGUGGUGGAAAGCUUUUGCGGUGUGGGAUGGGCCCGCGGCCUAUCAGCUUGUUGGUGGGGUAAUGGCCUACCAAGGCGACGACGGGUAGCCGGCCUGAGAGGGUGACCGGCCACACUGGGACUGAGAUACGGCCCAGACUCCUACGGGAGGCAGCAGUGGGGAAUAUUGCACAAUGGGCGCAAGCCUGAUGCAGCGACGCCGCGUGAGGGAUGACGGCCUUCGGGUUGUAAACCUCUUUCACCAGGGACGAAGCGUAAGUGACGGUACCUGGAGAAGAAGCACCGGCCAACUACGCG
rnacentral:rRNA from 1 species